UUUUAUGGAGAGUUUGAUCCUGGCUCAGGAUGAACGCUGGCGGCGUGCCUAAUACAUGCAAGUCGAGCGAACGGACGAGAAGCUUGCUUCUCUGAUGUUAGCGGCGGACGGGUGAGUAACACGUGGAUAACCUACCUAUAAGACUGGGAUAACUUCGGGAAACCGGAGCUAAUACCGGAUAAUAUUUUGAACCGCAUGGUUCAAAAGUGAAAGACGGUCUUGCUGUCACUUAUAGAUGGAUCCGCGCUGCAUUAGCUAGUUGGUAAGGUAACGGCUUACCAAGGCAACGAUGCAUAGCCGACCUGAGAGGGUGAUCGGCCACACUGGAACUGAGACACGGUCCAGACUCCUACGGGAGGCAGCAGUAGGGAAUCUUCCGCAAUGGGCGAAAGCCUGACGGAGCAACGCCGCGUGAGUGAUGAAGGUCUUCGGAUCGUAAAACUC
rnacentral:rRNA from 1 species